AGAUAUGAUGAAUUGUGCACUGGGCUCUGAGCAGUUGUUCAAACUGUUUAUUUGAUGCAAGUGCAGCCUAGAAAGCUAUGGCUGAUCU